AGAGAAGAAGAAGAGACGAGACGAGGGAAAUUUAUGAGGAGAAAAGACGUGAUUUUCGCGUUUCUUUGAGUAUUUAAAAACGAAAAUCUUGCCUGCAAUCAGAAGUACUGCCCGCAUUUUUACCGCGAGGAGGUGACUCGUUAUUACUUCGGACUGUUUCAGCCACACCCACACAGUGAUUGAGACCUUCAGUGAAGCUCCUCCUACAACAAUCCACCAAUAAAUGCUGGAGUCAAACACACAGAGAAAUCACUCCAUGUGUGACAACUGAAAUCUUCAUGACAUAAUGUUGAUGCUGGUGAAAGAGGAGCUUGAAAAGAUGACAGAUCCACAACCAUGCAGAAUAAAGGAUGAAGAUACUGAGGAACAAAUAGGUUGGUGUUUAUGUUUCAAUCUUUAUCUUUAAUAUGUUAUUGCAUCAGACUGAAAUUUAUUGACUUUGUUCACAAAGACUUUGCUUUUGGGAUUCUUCUCCGCCCCACCUUGUUUCACUUGAGGUGUUUUGGACAAAAUGACCUGCCUACAGAAAAUAGUUUAUAAUCAGGGUCUUCUAAUGUCUCAAACAGAAGAGAGAAAAGGAAGAGAUGCACAUUGUGUGCCCAAAAAGAUGUCCAAACAAGCACUGUCUGUUUUAAAUGCAAAGUUCCCAUUAACAAGGCACAUGAAAUAGAUUAUUAUCAUUCAUGUGCAUAUGUUCAGUAAAUGCAUUAGAUGCAUGCAUCAUUUACAUGAGUUCACACAAAGUUUUUGUCAUUUUGUCACAGCGUUUUUAUUUUUAUUAAUGACUUGGAUUUGUUAGGGAACGGCACAAUUGUAAAAUAAUUUUCUGUGUUUUGUGACCUUUAUUUUCACUUUAAACGGGCGAUCAUUUUUUACCGGGAUCACCACAACAAGUGUGACUCUGCUAUUAUUUUACAAUGUAAAAAAAUCAGUAGAAAUUACAGUGUAACUUGCAGCUGGUUGGCGGUAACUUAUUGUAGGUUUAAAUGUAUGCCUUAUACGUAAGAUUAGAUGCAUUUUAUUUUGUACAUUUGUAAUGUACAAAAACAAAUUAGCGUCGCACACCUGAAGUAGAUAGGUGCGUAGGAUAAGAAGACACAAAGUCUCGUAACAUACACAAAAGGCAAAUCCCGCACACUAUCUGCUUGCUGAAAAAGUUUUUAAUAAUCGUUGCGUUGCAAUGUUUCGAUCUUACGAUCUUCCUCAGGCAAUCUCAUUCAAAUAUAAACUGGAACAUAGAUCAUGAUGCAGUCGCUCAGGACAGCCAAUAGCGCUUCAGUUUUAUAGCUAACCUAAUGAUGCAAUCGGUCACGAGACGAGGUCACAAUUAAAGAUGAAUUUAGUAAACGCCUCUGUUGGGUGUAUUUGAGGGAAUGGACAAACGACCAAAAAAGGUGUGUGGGAUGUGGGUUGGAGGAUACGU